rnacentral:rRNA from 1 species
GACGAACGCUGGCGGCGUGCUUAACACAUGCAAGUCGAACGGAAAGGCCCUGCUUGCAGGGUACUCGGGUGGCGAACGGGUGAGUAACACGUGGGUGAUCUGCCCUGCACGUCGGGAUAAGCCUGGGAAACUGGGUCUAAUACCGGAUAGGAGCCAUUUGUAGUGUGAUGGUUGGAAAGUUUUUUCGGUGUAGGAUGAGCUCGCGGCCUAUCAGCUUGUUGGUGGGGUAAUGGCCUACGAAGGCGGCGACGGGUAGCCGGCCUGAGAGGGUGGACGGCCACAUUGGGACUGAGAUACGGCCCAGACUCCUACGGGAGGCAGCAGUGGGGAAGAUUGCACAAUGGGCGCAAGCCUGAUGCAGCUACGCCGCGUGGGCGAUGACGGCCUUCGGGUUGUAAACUCCUUUCGCUAGGGACGAAGCUUUUUGUGACGGUACCUAGAUAAGAAGCACCGGCUAACUACGUG